rnacentral:rRNA from 1 species
ACGGUACAACGAGUCGCAAACUCGCGAGAGUAAGCUAAUCUCUUAAAGCCGUUCUCAGUUCGGACUGUAGGCUGCAACUCGCCUACACGAAGUCGGAAUCGCUAGUAAUCGCGGAUCAGAAUGCCGCGGUGAAUACGUUCCCGGGCCUUGUACACACCGCCCGUCACACCAUGAGAGUCGGGAACACCCGAAGUCCGUAGCCUAACCGCAAGGGGGGCGCGCCAAAGGUGGGUUCGAUAAUUGGGGUGAAGUCGUAACAAGGUAUC